CUACUGCUACAAACACUACUGCUGCAAACCCUACUACAAACACUACUGCUACAAACACUACUGCUGCAAACCCUACUGCUACAAAUACUACUGCUAGCCCUGCUACUACUAACUCCACCAUCAUCUCAGUGAACACAACCCUCGUGUUAAACAGCACAGGUGGCAUCAAAAGACGAAAGCGGGAGGUGGAUUCAAGCAGUGAGGAGGAUGCAAGCUUUCAUGGGCUCUUCCAGCUCUCUGAUACAGACUUCUGUGAUUCGGGGUAUCACCAGUCCGAGAAUGAGUGCUGUACCUCCUGCACAGCCUUCACUGACGAUGACAUAACUGAUGACAUUGCUUGUGUUGUCAAGACUGGUCACUGGAGGCAGAUCUUUGAGAGUGCCUCAGACUCAUGUCGUCGCACUUCGAACUUCUUCAAAGAAUGUAACUAAAUGGCUGCGAGAUCAGAGUUUCUACCUGCAGGAUCACAGCAAUUUCUUCAUAAGAUCCAUCUUCAGUGAGCUGUGAUCGUGGCACUGCAUGGGCCAGAACCUACUAAAUAUUAUGAAGCUGUUUUCUUUUUUUUCG